UUUUUGUUUAACUAUGGCAAUAAGAAUUAUCUACGGUACAGUUGCAUAAAUAAAUUUUAUUACAGGGUGGUUAACUAUUAAUUAGCCUAUAUUAGCAGCUAGUUUUUUAUUGGGGUUUUCGCUUUCUAAGGUAUUCGUAGCAUAAAGGGGAUAGGGCACAGUGCCAGCAUCCGCGGUUAAUCUGUUUUCUUUGUUUCUUUUUAAUAUUAGUCUAAAUUAGUUAUAAGCAAGGUUAGGUGAAAUUUUCUUGCUAUUUAUACUUGUUUUUACUUGGUUAAAUUUGGUUAUUUAUGACAGGGAUUAGAUACCCCAUUAAUAUCUGAGUUAGUGUUGUUUAGUUUGAUAACUAAAAUAGUUUGGCAGCGUGUUAAUCCUACCGGGGGAAGGUGUGUUUGAAAGGACGAUCCGCCUAAAAUCUUACCUGUUUUAUGUUGGUGUAUAUCUGGUUUAAUAUUAUUGCUUAAUCGCUUAAUUUGUGUAUUUUACCUAUUAAGCCAAGUCUAUGUGCUGCGUAUUCAGGGUAUCAUGCGUUACUUUUAUAAAUGGUUUGUUGAAACUAUUUACUAUUAUUAAGGACUCGGAAGUAAGUGAUGUUUAGUUUGUGUCAUUGAAGCAGGUUUAGCAUGGGUACACACCGCCCGUCACCCUCGAUAAUUGUUGAGGUAAGUCGUAACAUGGUAACCCCAGAUGAAUUUGGGGUUA
rnacentral:rRNA from 1 species